rnacentral:rRNA from 1 species
UCGAGAAUCUUCCACAAUGGCCGAAAGUCUGAUGGAGCGACGCCGCGUGAGUGAUGAAGGCCCUACGGGUUGUAAAACUCUGUCAGGAGAGAAGAAUCGCCGGGGUGCCAAUACCACCCUGGUCUGACGUUAUCUCCAGAGGAAGCUCCGGCUAACUCCGUGCCAGCAGCCGCGGUAAUACGGGGGGAGCAAGCGUUGUCCGGAAUUAUUGGGCGUAAAGGGCGUGUAGGCGGCCUGGUCAGUCGA